rnacentral:rRNA from 1 species
CGCGUAGGUGGUUCGUUAAGUUGGAUGUGAAAUCCCCGGGCUCAACCUGGGAACUGCAUUCAAAACUGUCGAGCUAGAGUAUGGUAGAGGGUGGUGGAAUUUCCUGUGUAGCGGUGAAAUGCGUAGAUAUAGGAAGGAGCACCAGUGGCGAAGGCGACCACCUGGACUGAUACUGACACUGAGGUGCGAAAGCGUGGGGAGCAAACA